rnacentral:rRNA from 1 species
UACGUAGGGUGCGAGCGUUUGUUCGGAAUUAUUGGGCGUAAAGGGGUGCGUAGGCGGUUUUGGUAAGUCUUAUGUGAAAUCUACAGGCUCAACUUGUAGUCUGCAUGAGAAACUGCCGGGCUUGAGUAUGGGAGAGGUGAGUGGAAUUCCUGGUGUAGCGGUGAAAUGCGUAGAUAUCAGGAGGAACACCUGUGGCGAAAGCGGCUCACUGGACCAUAACUGACGCUGAUGCACGAAAGCUAGGGGAGCAAACAGG